AUUGAGCGCUGGCGGCAUGCUUUACACAUGCAAGUCGGACGGCAGCGGGGUAGUGCUUGCACUACUGCCGGCGAGUGGCGAACGGGUGAGUAAUAUAUUGGAACGUACCGAGUAAUGGGGGAUAACCAAUCGAAAGAUUGGCUAAUACCGCAUACGCUCUGAGGAGGAAAGCAGGGGACCUUCGGGCCUUGCGUUAUUCGAGCGGCCAAUAUCUGAUUAGCUAGUUGGUGGGGUAAGGGCCUACCAAGGCGACGAUCAGUAGCGGGUCUGAGAGGAUGAUCCGCCACACUGGGACUGAGACACGGCCCAGACUCCUACGGGAGGCAGCAGUGGGGAAUUUUGGACAAUGGGCGCAAGCCUGAUCCAGCCAUGCCGCGUGUCUGAAGAAGGCCUUCGGGUUGUAAAGGACUUUUGUUAGGGAAGAAAAAGGAGCGGUUAAUACCCGUUUCUGCUGACGGUACCUAAAGAAUAAGCACCGGCUAACUACGUG
rnacentral:rRNA from 1 species